rnacentral:lncRNA from 1 species
CUCUUCUCUUUUCUCCAACUAAGCACCAAUAUAGUAUUUAAAUUGUUGUAGCCAGCUUAUAACCCACUAUUAUUCUUGCUCUUCAUCCUCUGUGAGUCUGUCCUUCGUCCUUCUUCAACCUCUGAUUCCUCUGUCGGUGAGUCCCUAAGCGUUCUACGGCUCCUCCCUCUUCCCUUGAUUCCUCGUCCCCUCUCCCUCCGGCGAAGUGCCCCAUGGCCUGUUUACCGGAUCCCGCUGCCUCCAUCGGACCCCGCUGUCGCUGUGUCCAUCGGAUCUCGGCCGCGCCCCUUCACCAGAUUCCGGCGGCCUCCGCGCGAGCCUGCCGCGCCACCUCCGCGCG